GAUGAACGCUGGCGGCGUGCCUAAUACAUGCAAGUCGAGCGAUCAGACGAGGAACUUGCUCCUCUGACUUUAGCUUCGCAUGGGUUAGUUACACGUGGAUAACCUACCUCUAAGACUGGGAUAACUUUGCGAAACCGUAGCUACUACCGGAUAAUAUAUUUAACCUCUUAGUUCUAUAUUGAAAGACUUUUUUAUUUUCACUCUUAGAUGGUUCCGCGCAGCAUUAGCUAGUUGGUAAGGUAUCGGCUUACCAAGGCAACGAUGGGUAGCCGACACGAAAGGGUGAACGGGCAAACGGGAAGUGAGAGACGGUCCAGACACUGAAGGGAGGAAGCAGUAGGGAAUCUUCCGCAAUGGGGGAAAGCCUGACAGAGCAACGCGGCGUGAGUGAUGAAGGACUUAGGAUCGGAAAGCUAUGUUAUUAGGGAAGAAGAAAUGUGUAAGUAAAUAUGCACGUAUUGACGGUACCUAAUCAGAAAGCCACGGCUAAAUACGUG
rnacentral:rRNA from 1 species